CAUAUUAUAUGAAAUACAUAGUGCUCAACAUAUUUACAGUACUGAAAUUUAAGUAUUGUAAUUAGCAGUGUUUAAAACACAGUUAAAACACUGCUAGAAGUGCUGCUAGAACACUAGUUUGCUAAAAACUGAAAAUGUUCUCAGCCAUUAAGCAAAUGAACGGGGGUGAUGGUGGCCCGGUACGCUUGCACAUGUGUCAAUUAAGACACCAUCGCUAGCACUAGCGUGUUCAACUACUGGUUGGAUAAGGGAGAGAGCGACUAGAGAAAUCCCAGUAGCAUCCAUCCCCCAAAUCACGCGAUGCAGCCGAGACCAACACACGCGAAGGCCGCCCAUGAGAGAUGCAUCACCGACGACUCGUGGAGAGGCCGGGCGCCCCAUCUUCCUCCUUUGGGGAAUAUCCACGAGGGAGGCCAGAGCCUCAAGUCGCGCCAUUCGCGAGUCCGAGCGUGGCCGGGCUCCAUGCGCCGGUGCAGCAGCCCCGGCGGCUCGACGGCGGGCUGGGGAGCGGCACGCCGAGGGCCAAGAGGCAACGGCGAAGGUGAGGCCGAAAGCAGCCGUUGGCACAGGCGGAAGAGGGCCCAGGCGGCGAGCAUCGUCUCCGCGCAGCCGACGCUGUGGCCACGUCCAAUGGCGCGGUGGCCGUGUCCCGCGGGCGGAGCACGGAGCACGGACGGGCGCGCGGCGCGGCGGGCGAGGGCGAGAUCCUCGGCGCGGGCGGGCGAGGGCGAGGCCUCCGCGCGGAGUGGACGGGCAGGCGCGGCCAGCGACGGCUACGGUUUGGCGCUGCCGGCCACAGCGCGCGUGGGCGCGGCCACGGCCUGGCGAGGCCCGACGGCAAGAGCGAGAGGCGACGAAAAACACCAGCCGGUAGUACCAACGCAAGGGAAACUAGAAAAUGACAAGGUACCUUCUUCUCCCCUUUGCAUGACUGGUCGAUGUGUUCUUGAUUGAAGUUUUCUUUUCUUUGAUCCAUGAGUUUCUUUCCAUUGAUGCUUCAGCAGUCCUUUCAUCUCACCAUUUCCACAUGCUCGGAUGAAGAAAUUCUUAACAAGGCAGUGGCCGGUUGACUCAUUAUAGGUCACAGCGAUUAGUGCUAAUUAGGUGUGUUUCUUUAGAGGGACUUUUUGCUAUAGGGACUAAAAAAAGUCUCUUUUAGUCCCAUAUGAAAGAAACACGAGGGACUUUUAGGGACUAAAAGGGUAUUUGGGACUAAAGGAAGAAGUCCCUAUGGGAGGGUCUUUUUGAAACUUUUUUCACACUUUUUCCAACAGUGCCUCUACUUUUAACAUCUCAUUUAAUAAUUAUUAGAGGUAACAUGGUUUUUUUGCAUGUCAUUUAAUGACCUCUAGUCCCUGUUAAGUCCCUGGAAAAAAAACGGAUAGGGACUAGGGACUUUUUAGUUGGGACUAAAAAAAGUCUUUUAAAGAAAUAGGGCCUUAGCCCGAGCGUGUAGCGAUGCCCGCCAUAGGGAAGCCACGUCGCCGGGGCAAUUUAUGGCCGCGUGCCAUUGUUUUUCUCGAAUGGUGGUCGCGGAGGUACAAGGUUCUAUGGGCGGGGAUUUCGGGCGUGCAUAAUCGCUGCCUGGAUGUCCUAUUUCUCUCAUCGAAGAGCAUCGUCUGAUAACGUGUUGAAAUAAAGAUAGAGAGAAGGGUCUAGAGACAAUAAAAUGAAUCAAGUGUCCUCUUUAUUACUCCCUUCGUCCGGAAAUACUUGUCCUAGAAAUGAACAAAAUGAAUGUAUCUAUAACUAAAAUAAGUCUAGAUACAUCUAUUUCUAGGACAAGUAUUUCCGGACGGAGAGAGUACAUGGUAACUGCUAUUUAUACAAGGGAAGGGACCACUCCUGUAGAGAGGCGUCUGUUCGGAGGAGGCGCCUGUUCAACACAGAACCGACGCAACAGUUUGAAACUUCAUGCAAUUAGUACAAGCAGGGAUUAUCCCUUAAUUAUUGACAUGUAUUAAUUAAUCCUAACACUUCUCUCUCUAUUUGUCUAUCUAUCUAUGGCCCAGUUUGUUUCAGAAGUCUCAGGACUUUUUUUAGUCCCAACUAAAAAAUCUCUAGUCCCUAUCCGUUUGUUUUCAUGAACUAAACAUGGACUAGAGGUCAUUAAAUGACAUGCAAAAAGAUCAUGUUACCCCUAGUAAUGUAUUAGAAGUUAUUAAAUGACAUGCUAAAAGUAGGGGCAUUGUUGGAAAAAGUGCUAAAAAAGUCUCAAAAAAACCCUCCCAUAAGGACUUCUUCCUUUAGUCCCAAAUACCCCCUUUUAGUCCCUAAAAGUCCGUCCUGUUUGUUUCACAUGAGAAUAAAAGGGACUUUUUUUAAUCCCUACACCAAAAAAUCCAUGAAAACAAACACCCCCUAUAUAUUCCUUUGUUCGUAUAAAAAGCAACCUCAUGCAGUACAGUGGGAGCCACUGAUGUGAGGCCCCACAGCCGAUAGUCGGUGUUACUACUCUACCUCAGCACUUAGGAGCUCCGCUUCUCUAUGCCCUAGUUUGUCGGUCACCUCUUUUCGGGUGGUGGCGGGUGGAGGAGGUCAAUGUUAUCAUUGACCUUGGCGGAAGAUGGUUUGGUGGUUGCUCAAUCCAGCUCCGAACAGGAUCCCAUGAGCCCGAAACAUCGACGUCGGUGCUCCAAAUGAAGGUUAGAUUAUUUUUUAAGUUGCCUACAUUUUUUGACAUGUUGGAAGCUCGUGUGUUUUGCUGCAAACACAUGUACAACAUGUUCGGAUGAUCAUGGUGUAUGUUACAAAUAGUGUGUUUGUGUUGCAAGGCUCUCUUUUGCACAGAUGCAAGUGUUGGCUUGUAUGUUGUAUAUGUAUACCCAAAAUACCGUAAAUUGCUUUUGGAGGCCGAGCUCCAUGGAAGCUUCCAAAUGAAAAAUUCAAAAUUCAUGAAAAUUCAUAUUUUACAUUUAAAAAAUUCUGAAAAAAAACACGGAGACAUGCAUGAAGGCAUAAUGCACAAGUGUGUAAAUUUUCAGGAUGAAAAACGUUGAAAUGAGGGUUGUGCAAAAAAAAACAGAUAUAGGACUUUUUAACACAUACACCUCACAUACUUAUUUACUUGUACAAAAAAAUCAGUUUUUUUUAACAAAAACUUUGAAUUUUGAUUUUUUCAGAAAUCCAGCCUCCAUGGUGGCUCAGAUCAAACACCAUACUUCCAAAAUACUUUGUAUUCUAAAAUUGCUUUUCGAGAUAAAUCACCGCUUGUAUGAAUGACCGGUAAAGUUCUUAUAGCAUCUGACCUACUUGGAAGGCUAAUAAAAUUAAUGAUUGAUAAAGUUUCUACUGAGCUACCUAAGAACAGAGUCACAACAAAGAGAUUCCUUAGCCAUUGACCUGCCAGAGGACAAAUAACUUUAUUUCAAUGUCAAUCCCCCAAGUCUUUUAUAUAUGCCGAGGUUUUUCUAUGCAGAGGAUAAAUAACUCAUUCUUAUUUGUCUUAUAGUUUUCCUAUUUUGUGGGCUAUUUGUUAUGUACAUGCUUAUUGGAGUUGUGAAUUUGAUAGAAGGCACCGGGAAUUUUCGAUGAAUCGUCAGAAUUGUAACAUGCACCGGAGAAUUGGUUGUCGCUUCUCUGUGGUACAGUUUCUGAAGGGCAAACAAGGUAAUCAGGGUGGAUGAUAGAGGUUCUCGUAUCGAAGGGAAAAUGAGUGUUAAGAGUGGCUGCCACUACUUCCUGGACUCCUGGUCCAUUUUCCUAUAGGCAAGCAUGAUGGGCGCCAUAGUUGUCGUUUGUGUAUAUAUGCAGCUUAAAGCUUGGUCUUAGCAAAGCAUGCAGUAGCUAGCUGGUCCCCAUGUUAUCCCUGAGUUAUACAUUUUGAAAUCAAAUUUCAUGCAGCUAGCUAUUCCUGUAAAAAUCGUCUGUAUGCCAGAUAAACCUCUUCGGACAAACUAGUAAAAUUUUCAACAAGUCAUUACAACACCAAAA